GUGGCGUUGGGGGAGAAGGUGUACUCCCUAGCCCCUGAGGGGGUGAAGGAACUGGGUCCGGGUUCUGGGGACGCGGUUCUGCCGCCAUGGCGCCUUG
rnacentral:tRNA from 1 species